rnacentral:lncRNA from 13 species
GGAAAACUCUCAGUAUCUCUUGGUCUAAUAAGAAACUUGUAACAUCUGUGUGUGGAAGGCCACCUGAGAAAAGCCUUGCCUGUUUGAAGGGGAAGAUGGGAAACAAAUAGAAAACAAGUAUGAAGGAAGGUGGGAAAUAAGUGCCUCAACUUUGCUUGUUUUUCUUUUUUCUUUCUGUAUCUCCUGCCAGUGGCACAAUCAGAAGCCACAGGGUGAGGAAGGUGUUGGAGAUCAGGAGCUCUUUCAGGUAGUCAUUUUAGUUCAGUUUCUCAGGACACAGAGCAGGGUGGAGAAGAAUGGAUACUGGAUCCGGAGAGACAAAUGGAAAUCCUCCAGCACAACAUUAGAGGCAGUAUUAAACAGAAAAGAGGUAUGGCCUAUUCUUAUGACGGAUUCUGCUAAUUGAUUUUUGAGUGCUGAAUGAUUCUUACAUCGGUGGGAUGCCCCUCUUGUUGAUGGGUCUCACUUGGCCCAGGCUGGAGUACAAUGGCAUCAUCUCGGCUCUCUGCAACCUCUGCCUCAUGGGUUCAAGCAAUCCCCUGCCUCAGCCUCCUGAGUGGCUGAGAUUACAGGAGAUUGCCACCACACCUGGCUAACUUUUUUAUUUUUAGCACAGAAGGUGUUUCACCAUCUUGGCCAGGCUGGUCUUGAACUCCUGACAUCGUGAUCCACAUGCCUUGGCCUCCCAAAGUGCUGGGAUUACAGACGUGAGCCACUGCGCCCGGCCAACUUUGUUUACAGAUGGGAAAAUGGCAUCUAGCACCAUAAGUCUAUCACAUUGUCAGUUUCCUUAAAGCACUCC